rnacentral:rRNA from 1 species
AUUGAACGCUGGCGGCAUGCCUUACACAUGCAAGUCGAACGGCAGCACGGGUGCUUGCACCUGGUGGCGAGUGGCGAACGGGUGAGUAAUACAUCGGAACAUGUCCUGUAGUGGGGGAUAGCCCGGCGAAAGCCGGAUUAAUACCGCAUACGAUCUACGGAUGAAAGCGGGGGACCUUCGGGCCUCGCGCUAUAGGGUUGGCCGAUGGCUGAUUAGCUAGUUGGUGGGGUAAAGGCCUACCAAGGCGACGAUCAGUAGCUGGUCUGAGAGGACGACCAGCCACACUGGGACUGAGACACGGCCCAUACUCCUACGGGAGGCAGCAGUGGGGAAUUUUGGACAAUGGGCGAAAGCCUGAUCCAGCAAUGCCGCGUGUGUGAAGAAGGCCUUCGGGUUGUAAAGCACUUUUGUCCGGAAAGAAAUACUUGGCCCUAAUACGGUCGGGGGAUGACGGUACCGGAAGAAUAAGCACCGGCUAACUACGUG